GAAUUACAUAAAUAUUGUCAGCUCUCAGGCUGAUGAGUGACUGGCAGAGUUCACGGGCCAGGUUCACCAGCCUUGGAAGUGGGAACAGCUUCACUGAAGUCAGUGGGAGGCCUGAGCACAUUACAGGAACCUUCCAUAAAUAGAACAGAGCUGUGUCCAUUUGUACCAGAAACGACUGGAAAUUGCUGCCAGCAGCAUUGCAGAGAACACUUUUCACCCUGUAGACUUCAGGCAACCCGUUCCUGAAGACACCACACAAAAACACUGCCCCCAAGUCACUUCCUCAGCUGCUGCCAUGGCACCCCUGCCCUUUAACAUUUAAAACCCUUUAACACCCCAAUGCCAACCAGCUUUGCUAUGCCCCCAGUGUGCUGCUGUGCUUUCUUUUCAAUAGGUGACUCAGGCACAGAUUGUGACCUUCACCAGGUCCAAGUGAGUUGAUGGGGAGACACAGCAAGGAGCUGGGACAAACAAAGAGCUUCUUCCACAAGGGGUUUCCUAACAGAAAUAGUAAAAAUGUGAACACAUCAUUAAAGAGAGGCUGGCCCAAGGAGGGAAAUGAGUAAGUGCU
rnacentral:lncRNA from 12 species